rnacentral:ribozyme from 1 species
UCCCCCCUGUCCUCUUCGAACUGCACUGACACAAAUUGAAGCAAAAAAGCCGGUCUUAACAUGAUACUUUUUGUUAUUCUUGCCUUUCCUUUACAUAUUU